rnacentral:rRNA from 1 species
AGUGAACGCUGGCGGCAGGCCUAACACAUGCAAGUCGAGCGGCAGCGGAAAGUAGCUUGCUACUUUGCCGGCGAGCGGCGGACGGGUGAGUAAUGUCUGGGAAACUGCCUGAUGGAGAGGGAUAACUACUGGAAACGGUAGCUAAUACCGCAUAACGUCGCAAGACCAAAGAGGGGGACCUUCGGGCCUCUUGCCAUCAGAUGUGCCCAGAUGGGGUUAGCUAGUAGGUGGGGUAACGGCUCACCUAGGCGACGAUCCCUAGCUGGUCUGAGAGGAUGACCAGCCACACUGGAACUGAGACACGGUCCAGACUCCUACGGGAGGCAGCAGUGGGGAAUAUAGCACAAUGGGCGCAAGCCUGAUGCAGCCAUGCCGCGUGUAUGAAGAAGGCCUUCGGGUUGUAAAGUACUUUCAGCGGGGAGGAAGGCGUUGAGGUUAAUAACCUCAGCGAUUGACGUUACCCGCAGAAGAAGCACCGGCUAACUCCGUGCCAGCCGCCGCCGUAA